rnacentral:rRNA from 1 species
UACGGGGGGGGGCAAGCGUUGUUCGGAAUUACUGGGCGUAAAGGGCUCGUAGGUGGCCAACUAAGUCAGACGUGAAAUCCUGGAGCUCAACUCCAGAACUGCCUUUGAUACUGAAGAUCUUGAGUUCGGGAGAGGUGAGUGGAACUGCGAGUGUAGAGGUGAAAUUCGUAGAUAUUCGCAAGAACACCAGUGGCGAAGGCGGCUCACUGGCCCGAUACUGACGCUGAGGCACGAAAGCGUGGGGGAGCAAACAGG